AUUCUUACUUGACGUAGGGGGAUACCGUGAUCAUGCAGGCCGUUCCCCCAGGGCGAGGCUACUUCAUUGCACUGCGGAGUGGUUGACCCUUCAGUUUGUUUUUAUUAAUAAAAAAAUCAUAAUAUAAAAUGUAUACCCGAAUAAUUAUUUUCUUUAUA